GCGGUGUUGCUAAAUCAAACAUGAAGUUCAAAGCAUAAUCGAAACAUGGAAAUAAAGCUUGGAAAGGAAGCUAACCGGUUGCGGCGAGCUCGACCGACGAAUGUGAGUAAGCGUUGCCUUCAACUCUCUCCUUUUCUUUUCUGAAUGGUAGCCGCCAAUCCUCUUCAAAAUUAGGGUUUUUUCAGCUCUUUAACAGUAGCCGCUAAUCUUCUCCUCUUCUUUUCUGAAUGGUGGCCGCUAAUGUUCUCCUAAAACUAGGGUUUUUCAGCUCUCCCCCUGUUAGUGAACAAUGGCCUCCCUUUUAUAGUCACACUGCUAGGGUCUUUUGAAUUGGCCGCUGAGACCAAAGGGGUGUUGGACUUGGAAGUGCUUUUGGUGCUGCCAGUUUGUCUACCCUGUUUUGGUGUUUAUUCUGAAAAAGGUAAUAUGUACCUUGUACUUCUUCUGUAAAAAUGUUUUAUUUUGUUGCUUGUGAACCUUUGCUGCCUUACUAAGUUAUUGUGAUUUUACUGCAGUGAAGUUUCUUGCAACUUUGAGGCUUCUGUUAACCACACUCAACCUUGCAAGAGCAACCUUCUUGAGGUCAGGCCUGUAGUAGUUAUCUGCCACUGGUUUUGAACAGCCUUAGCCAUCCUCCUAAACUCCUUCUUCAUCACAGAUUUAUGAAGCAAAGCGGACGGCUUGUUCUGCUUCCUUGGCUUGGAGAAAGUUAGCAGGCUUCAAGUUAGAGUGCACAAUACGUUCCUCGUGAAUUGUAUUGACAACUUGAAGAAUUUUCGGCCAAUAAAACCGAAGCCAGUUUUCAUCUAUCAUCUCGUUUGAUUCACUCAGCUUCUUCCACUGCUGCGACAACAUGUGAGCUAACUCAAUUUCACCGUAUUCAAACUCAGAGUCGGCACAAGAAUCAAAUGUUUGCACCACACUUGCAGCCUUAUCAACUGAUAAUUUAUUCGAUUUUUCGACACAAGUGUUUACAUUCGUUGAUUCCAUAACUCUUUCAGCUUCUUAGUAGCCUUCUCAGCGGAGGGUGUAGACCACUGACACGGGAG
rnacentral:lncRNA from 1 species